UUGGCUUACUCCUUCAUUUUGGAGAAGAGUAUCCUUCAGCAACUUCCUGGAAGUUACUGAAGAGAACUUUUUGCAGAGAAGAUUUUCACUCUGGGAGAAGCUCGGUACCAUGUUGUAAGCAGUCCUAUGGAGAGCCCAGUGGCAAGGCCUCCUGCCAGUAAUCAGCAAUAAACCUGAGCCUGCUGACAACCAUGCCAGUGAGCUUGGGAGCUGGUCCUCCACCCCGGCAAGCCUGAAGAGGACCCUAUCCCUGUGACAGACCUUGAGCAG
rnacentral:lncRNA from 10 species